GAGUUUGAUCAUGGCUCAGAGCGAACGCUGGCGGCAGGCCUAACACAUGCAAGUCGAACGGACCCUUCGGGGUUAGUGGCGGACGGGUGAGUAACACGUGGGAACGUGCCUUUAGGUUCGGAAUAGCUCCUGGAAACGGGUGGUAAUGCCGAAUGUGCCCUUCGGGGGAAAGAUUUAUCGCCUUUAGAGCGGCCCGCGUCUGACUAGCUAGUUGGUGAGGUAACGGCUCACCAAGGCGACGAUCAGUAGCUGGUCUGAGAGGAUGACCAGCCACACUGGGACUGAGACACGGCCCAAACUCCUACGGGAGGCAGCAGUGGGGAAUAUUGGACAAUGGGCGCAAGCCUGAUCCAGCCAUGCCGCGUGAGUGAUGAAGGUCUUAGGAUUGUAAAGCUCUUUCACCGGUGAAGAUAAUGACGGUAACCGGAGAAGAAGCCCCGGCUAACUUCGUGCCAGCAGCCGCGGUAAU
rnacentral:rRNA from 1 species